AACGAAGAGAGCAAUCUCUUAGUGGCAAACGGGUGAGUAAUACAUAGGAAUCUGCCUUAUAGUGGGGGACAACAGUUGGAAACGACUGCUAAUACCGCAUAAUACCAUUUAUGGGAAAGUCGCAAGACGCUAUUUGAUGAGCCUGUGUCCGAUUAGCUUGUUGGUGGGGUAAUGGCCUACCAAGGCAACGAUCGGUAGCCGGUCUGAGAGGACGAUCGGCCACACUGGAACUGAGACACGGUCCAGACUCC
rnacentral:rRNA from 1 species